AAAGAACAAGCAGGAAAGCAUAGCAACACUACCGUCUUCUGCUCUACAGAAAUCCAAAGUGGUCUCGGUGCAAGCCUCUGAAGUGAAGAGGAGCUUGCCUUGUGUCUUUUACAGUGUAUCUUAAUGAGAUUUUGUGCACCUAAUGAGAACAAGAGAAAAGAAUUUAGCUAGCAAAAAAACACAGGCUAAAUUGGCUUGGUUGGAUUUGCCUAAGAAUUACUUCAUUCAGGAUCUGCUGAGCACUGAACAGGGUACAGUGACAUCAUCUGAUGGCAACUGGAGAGAAGAAGUGUCAUAGGAUGUGCCAGUCAAAGAACGGCUUGAGAAGGAGGCAGAGAGAAAAAUUUUGUUUUACUGUUACUGGAAAUAGUGCCAUUUCAUGUACCCAAGAGAGACACCGAGAAAGGCUAUACAUGAGAAUACCUUGUCACUGCUCACAGGAUAAGCCUAAAACCAGCACUCGAAGCAGAGCUGAAAUGAAUGCCUACCAUGGUUGUGCUUGCAAGCUUUAUUUUGGGACGAAUACAGCGAGAUUACUUUCUGUCUUUCUGCUCUGCACACCUAUUUCUGUGACUAGCAUCAUUAUGGAAUAAGAAUGUUCUGAUGAGGUCAGCACAUAUUACACCCAUAAACAGAUUUGUGAUGGCUAAAGCAUUUUGCUUGAGAAGUCUCCUGAAGGUAGCACUCAAACUACUAUUAAAAGCACUAUCAAAGUACUAAAGCCUUGGGGCGGGUGUUCUGCUGAGGAGUUACCAAGAAGCAUUAGUAUUUUUUGGUGGUUAUACCAAUCACUACAAAUUUGUGCUGAUGAUAAAACAAAUCCAGAUAGUAUCCAGGAUUUAAAGUAAUUGAUGGGGAAAAAGGACAGGACUCACUGUCCUGUGCAAAAAUAAAAGUUAAUUUAUUCUUCUCUUGUUUGUACAAACCUAUGCAGCAUUCUCCUUGUAACAAUGAGAUCUCACUCUUGUUUCAACCUGCUGUAAUUCUGAGGUCUCUACCUCAGGUGGGCACAGAUUUCCUAGCAAUCUCUGAAGAAGUAAACUCAGCUUGACGGAAGUAUUACAGCAAUCUUAAGAAUGUCUUUGUGGAGUAAUGCACCUGCUUCUCAGCAAGUUUAGCAGCUGUAUUCCCUGCCUGUGCUGCUUGUAGCUAAUGUUAAUUCUCAUCACUCCAUCUGGCACUGCUACACUGUUAAACACUGUCAUGGAUCUGUGCUGCCUACAUCAUGAAUGGGCUGAACAUGAUGGCUAUAAAGUAUGAUAAACUCUUGUAGGUAACUAUGGAUCUGGAAACUCCUAAUUGUACAAUGUGUUAUUUACACUCUCCUACAAAAACAAAACAGACAAACAAACAUAAAGCCUGGUAAUUAUUGAUAGAGAACAAAAUAAUUACUUGGAAUAGUUUUAAAGCAAUUAGAAUAGCUGAUUUUUGUCAGAGAGGAUAUCAAAGAAUAGUGGUGCAAAAUAAUUGACUGACCUAGCAUUGCCUCUUCACUCAAUUAAAUGUUUAUUCUCUUGAGUACUUAUUAUUCUAAGAGCAGAGUAUGAAAUAGUUCCAUGUGGAUUCUACUAUGAUUUUUCUAAGCAGUUCCGAGGAGAUAAAGAGGACUCAAAUGGUACUGAUCUACUUACAGUGUAUCUGAAUCUGUUCCAAGUAUUUUGCCUCACUCUUUCACUUUGAGUAACAAAGCAAUGGAAACAUAUAUUUCUGACAUAUAUUAACCUGUCCAUUUAAAAUGUAUGGGCAUAUUUCAAUAACCAGAUUGACAGUGGUAGUAUUUGUCAUAAAAAAUAUUCAUUAUCAAUGUUUAUCAUCAAAAUAUUUAUCAUCAAAAUGGCCAGCAAAAGUGAAAGAGCUAAGUACCAAUUUCUUUCUUCAGUCAAUGCUCUAUUUCUUUCUAGAAGACAUUCCAGCUUUGUUUUCUGUUUUCAUUUAUCAGCUGCAUAGAUAAAAAGUUUAAGACUACUCACAGCACAAGAUAACAGGAAAAAUAAAAUAAAAAUUACCUACUAAAAUCU
ensembl:lncRNA